GGGGAAUAUUGGACAAUGGACGCAAGUCUGACCCAGCAACGCCGCGUGAAGGAAGAAGGCUUUCGGGUUGUAAACUUCUUUUAAGGGGGAAGAGUAGAAGACGGUACCCCUUGAAUAAGCCACGGCUAACUACGUGCCAGCAGCCGCGGUAAUACGAAGGGGGCUAGCGUUGCUCGGAAUCACUGGGCGUAAAGCGCACGUAGGCGGAUCGUUAAGUCAGGGGUGAAAUCCUGGGGCUCAACCUCAGAACUGCCCUUGAUACUGGCGAUCUCGAGUUCGAGAGAGGUUGGUGGAACUCCGAGUGUAGAGGUGAAAUUCGUAGAUAUUCGGAAGAACACCAGUGGCGAAGGCGGCCAACUGGCUCGAUACUGACGCUGAGGUGCGAAAGCGUGGGGAGCAAACA
rnacentral:rRNA from 1 species